UGAGAACUUAGAGAAUUUGAGGAAGAGAAGGGAGAGGUGCUCUAGAGAGGUGUUCGACCUUCCUUCUCUCUCUUUUCUCCCUCGAAUUCUCUUAGUUUUCCUUUUAAGUU
rnacentral:miRNA from 1 species